UAGUUGGUGAGGUAAUGGCUCACCAAGGCAAUGACGCCUAACUGGUUUGAGAGGAUGAUCAGUCACACUGGAACUGAGACACGGUCCAGACUCCUACGGGAGGCAGCAGUGGGGAAUAUUGCACAAUGGAGGAAACUCUGAUGCAGCAACGCCGCGUGGAGGAUGACACUUUUCGGAGCGUAAACUCCUUUUAUAUAGGAAGAUAAUGACGGUACUAUAUGAAUAAGCACCGGCUAACUCCGUGCCAGCAGCCGCGGUAAUACGGAGGGUGCAAGCGUUACUCGGAAUCACUGGGCGUAAAGAGCGUGUAGGCGGGUUAAUAAGUUGGAAGUGAAAUCCUAUAGCUCAACUAUAGAACUGCUUUCAAAACUGUUAACCUAGAAUAUGGGAGAGGUAGAUGGAAUUUCUGGGUGUAGGGGUAAAAUCCGUAGAGAUCAGAAGGAAUACCGAUUGCGAAGGCGAUCUACUGGAACAUUAUUGACGCUGAGACGCGAAAGCGUGGGGAGCAAACAGGAUUAGAUACCCUGGUAGUCCACGCCUAAACGAUGUACACUAGUUGUUGCGAUGCUAGACAUUGCAGUAAUGCAGUUAACACAUUAAGUGUACCGCCUGGGGAGUACGGUCGCAAGAUUAAAACUCAAAGGAAUAGACGGGGACCCGCACAAGCGGUGGAGCAUGUGGUUUAAUUCGACGAUACGCGAAGAACCUUACCUGGACUUGACAUUUACAGAAUUUUUCAGAGAUGAAUUAGUGUCUGCUUGCAGAAACUGUAGGACAGGUGCUGCACGGCUGUCGUCAGCUCGUGUCGUGAGAUGUUGGGUUAAGUCCCGCAACGAGCGCAACCCACGUCGUUAGUUGCUAACAGUUCGGCUGAGAACUCUAACGAGACUGCCUGGGCAACCAGGAGGAAGGUGUGGACGACGUCAAGUCAUCAUGGCCCUUACGUCCAGGGCUACACACGUGCUACAAUGGGGCAUACAAAGAGCAGCGAUACCGCGAGGUGGAGCAAAUCUCAAAAAUGCCUCCCAGUUCGGAUAGUAGUCUGCAACUCGACUACUUGAAGUUGGAAUCGCUAGUAAUCGUAGAUCAGCAAUGCUACGGUGAAUACGUUCCCGGGUCUUGUACUCACCGCCCGUCACACCAUGGGAGUUGAACUCAUUCGAAGCGGGGAUGCUAAGAUAGCUACCCUCCACAGUGGAUUCAGCGACUGGGGUG
rnacentral:rRNA from 1 species